rnacentral:snRNA from 1 species
GGAUGUGAGGGUGAUAGGAUCUCCACUGAUCASCAGGAUUGAUCUGACUAGGCAGGGGUCCUCAACCUCCCUCACCACUCCAUGUGCAUUCCUCCCUAAAGCAGUGUGCUCUACCAAAAAGGACAAGCUUCCCCAAUGGAGGAGGAUAGCUCUUUGCUCAAGGGUAGAAGAGUAGCUGUUCCCCUGCUAGAACCUCCAAACAGAUUCUCAAAGAACUCUAAGAUUCAACAGAAAGAAAAUGAACGACCCAAAAAAAUGAGUAAAGGACCUGAACAGACACCUUGU